UGAGGAGCCCCUGACCUCCAGCACACAAGGACGUGAAGCUCCGAGAAUACAAGCCCCGUGCCAGGCUCAGCCAGCGAAGACCGAGAUGGUGUGCCUGGGACAUUGUCUGCUUCAGCUGUGUCUUUCCUGUAUUUCUCAGACAAUGUACUUGGCACUGAGUGUGUGUGCUCAACGCUCCGGCUGCAGAUCAAGCUACAACUUCUCCAGCUAAUGCUGUCACCACUAUCGACUCGGUGUGAUUUAACAGCAAGAGCACUUGAGUCAAGAUAUUCAAGCCACCUCGUCUAAUAACCCCCUUAUUUGAUUAAUUGGACAUGAUCUGCGGACUGGAGAAGGCGGUCAGUGUCUUAUGCAAAUUAUGUGAGUGCAGACAUCCAUGUGCAUG